rnacentral:SRP_RNA from 1 species
GAUCUGGACUCACGCGGUCACAACGCCCAAACUUUGUCAGAACCGGAAGGUGGCAGCAAUACGGGAUGCUUGCGACAGGCGUGAUAUCCGGGUCAUC